GGGGAUAACCCGGGGAAACUCGGGCUAAAACCGCAUAAUCUCUGAGGAGCACCACUGCCUUACCAACUUAAUGUAUUUUUUAAUUAAGAUAUAUUAAGUGGUAAGGUGGUGCUUUAGGAGGGGCCUACGUUGGAAUAGCUUGUUGGUAGGGUAAAGGCCUACCAAGGCGAUGAUCUAUAGCUGGUCUGAGAGGAUGAUCAGCCACACUGGGACUGAGACACGGCCCAGACUCCUACGGGAGGCAGUAGAGGAAAAUAUUGCACAAUGGGGGCAACCCUGAUCCAGCGAUGCCGCGUGUGUGAAGAAGGCCUGCGGGUUGUAAAGCACUUUUAAUGGUGAGGAAUAGGGCAUUAUAAAUAGUAAUGUCUAAUGACGUUAGCCAUAGAAUAAGCACCGGCAAACUCUGUGCCAGCAGCCGCGGUAAUACAGAGGGUGCGAGCGUUAAUCGGAAUGACUGGGCGUAAAGGGCACGUAGGCGGUUUAUCAAGUUAGAUGUGAAAUACCAGGGCUUAACCUUGGGGCUGCAUCUAAGACUGAUGAACUAGAGUUCACUAGAGGGGAGUGGAAUUUCCGGUGUAGCGGUGAAAUGCGUAGAUAUCGGAAGGAACACCAGUGGCGAAGGCGACUCUCUGGAGUUGAACU
rnacentral:rRNA from 1 species